GCCUAUCUUUCCAACAUAUCCUAACCAUUAUGAACGGUUAUCGAUAACGUGUCACUAUCAUUAGUGGAAAUAAAUAACUCAUUAACUCCAUGAUUAUAGUUCGAUAAUUUAGCGCCAUAAAAAGUGGGACACGUGCUCGACUGUUACAUCAGAGUCAUCUAUAAAAAGGGAGGUAAAGGAACAGCACGGAUAAGAUAAUUCUGGAUGAAGACUCUGCCAUUUCAAAUUCUCUUUAUCUACUGUUCACCAAACUUCUCUCCGAAUUGGGAAAGAUCUUACAGAAUAAUCGAGACAC
rnacentral:lncRNA from 1 species